rnacentral:tRNA from 1 species
AGAAAUUUAGGUUAACCAGACCAAAAGCCUUCAAAGCUUUAAGCAAGAGUGAAAACCUCUUAAUUUCUG